GGACCGCAUAAGCUUACGCGCCCUAACCAUAGCGUAAUGCGAAUCCUUUCGUUACAGAGAUGGGAGUCCAGUACCUAGGAGUGUUGUCCUCUGUGCUGCAAGUGGCGAACCAGCCCGACACGGCCUCAACCAAGAAACAGUCAUCAAAUCAAUGGCAAUCUUGCAUAUUUUGCUGUGUCCAAGGCCUAACGUGUAGAGCAUCAGGCGGCUGUGCCGAUGGAACAGGGUUCGCUACCAACCUUCAGACCAACACGUGUCACUAAUAGCUGGGAACGAAUGGCACGAGAUCAACAUGUUCGUACCCUGCAUGCACGUGCGGGAGCAAAGACGAUGCUGGCCCUGCGUGCGUCAUCGUGACGUCAAACCUGGGAGGCAGCACUGGGUCGGACAGCAAAAGUCAAGCCAGCCAGAGAUGGGAGUCCAGUACCUAGGAGUGUUGUCCUCUGUGCUGCAAGUGGCGAACCAGCCCGACACGGCCUCAACCAAGAAACAGUCAUCAAAUCAAUGGCAAUCUUGCAUAUUUUACUGUGUCCAAGGCCUAACGUGUAGAGCAUCAGGCGGCUGUGCCGAUGGAACAGGGUUGGCUACCAACCUUCAGACCAACACGUGUCACUAAUAGCUGGGAACGAAUGGCACGAGAUCAACAUGUUCGUACCCUGCAUGCACGUGCGGGAGCAAAGACGAUGCUGGCCCUGCGUACGUCAUCGUGUCGUCAAACCUGGGAGGCAGCACUGGGUCGGACAGCAAAAGUCAAGCCAGCCAGUUUGCAGGCUUGUUGCGGAGCAGGCUGGAAGCUGUAUGUCGCGCUGAAGGAAGCAGUUGACGUAUUUGUUGUCAACUGAAAUCUCCGUGACAUCCACAAAGAGCAACGUGCUCAUCGUCAGUGGCGAUGAUGGCGAGGACCUCCCCACCACGGACUUGGAACCACAAUCCCUCGAUCGGGAGCAACUUGCUGCCGGACCGCCGAACAGCCGCUGACCCAGGCUGGAGAAGUUCAGCUGGAACGUCAAGUAUCGAACCGGUGUCAGAGUGGCCACAUCUAUCGUCACGACAACGAGGCAAUCAACACCAUUGCUGGAAAUCCCGACAAACGCCUGGUUACGCACACACAUACACAAAAAUAAAGACUCAAGACAGCGCUGGCCACAAGGCCAGAAGAAUACGACGAUGGUGGCGUUCAGCGCCGAUGACGUGCAAGACAACUCGCGCUUUCGUACCACGAGUCUAACUAAUGAGUAUUUACGGGGUAGAUCUUCGGUAGCCUCAGGAGAUGUUAGGGCGGGUCAUUGAAAUAGAGCUUCGGUAACACAGGCUUACGGAGUUACCCUGUUGGUGAUGGCAGAGGAAACGCGAGGAGCGAAACGUUGGUGGAUGGCAUGAAUGGCCCAAGGAGCGGGAAACCACGCACGACGGCAAAAUGUGAUGUUCACGGGAGCGUAUUCGCGCAAUGUGUUCUUCACCCAGUCACCAAGGUGUUUCUGCACCCUUUUAACCCUGAUUGCACAGCGCAGAUUCUGUAUGGUGCGCGUUUGAGGCUUCGUAAUUUAAAUUGGCGCACGUGGAACAGAAGUAGUCGUAUUAAUUCACAAUCAGGGCAUUUUUAUGUCCACUACAUGACGAAGGCCUCUCCCAGCGAUCUCCCAUUACGGCUGUCCUGUGCCAACUACUUCCAACUUGCGCCUGCGAAUUUUCUCAUCUCAGCUCGACUGCGCUUCCGUUUUCUUAGCACCCAUUUUGUAACGCUAACGCUUCGCCGAUUAUCAAUCCUACGCAUUGCAUAGCCUACCCAGCUCCAUUCCUUUCUCUUUGUGUCGAUUACAAUAGCGGGUAUCCCUGUUUACCCUCUAAUCCACAGCGCUUUUCACCUGUCUCUGAACAUUACGCCUAACGUUAUUGGUCCCAUUGCUCUUUUCGCGGUCUUGUUCUCGAGCUUCUUAGUCAACCUCCAUGUUUCGGCCUCAUAUGUUGGCACCAGUAGAAUGCAGUGAUUGUAGAAUUUUUCUGCGAUAGUGUUUCUGUUUUAGUGAUAGUGACUUUUUCUCCCAAUCAGGAUCUGGCAAUGCUUGCCGUACGGACUCCAACUUAUUCUUUGUCUUCUGUAAAUUUCUUUGUCUUGAUCAGUGUCUCUUGCGACUUCUGGCCUAGGUAAAUGGACUCCUUCACACAGCCUAGAGGUUGAUUGGCAAUCCGGAACUUUUGUUCCCUUGCCAGGCUAUUGACCAUUUUUCCUUCUGAUAUUAAUCCAACUGCACCAUUAGACUUUCUGUUAAGGCCCUCAAUCAUUUGUAUAUCCUCCCCAGUGCUGCUUAACAGGACGUCGUCUGCAAACCGAAGGUUGCUGAGAUGUUCGCCGUUAAACCUCUCCUAGUCCAUCAUAUUUUGUUAGCUUGAGUACUUUGAAGCAUGCAGUGAAUACCAUUGGAGAGUUUGCGUCUUCUUCACUACUUUCUCUAUACGUACCUUUCUACUUGUGGAGAAAAAAGGUAGCUGAGGAAUCCUUUUAGAUAUUUCCGAAGAUAUUCACAUAUGCCAUAUGUACUUCUUGAUUACGCAAUACUUCUGUGAAAAUGCGUUUGAUUGCUUAGAGACACCAGCAGUCAUAAUGAAUGAAAGCAUUGUAGAGUGGGUGCUCGUACUCUGCAGAUUUCUCAAUUACCUCAUUGAUGACAGGAGGAGGAGGAGGGAAGAGAUCCGUUGAACAUCCCGAAGCUAGCCUGUUUUCUUCCUUCACUGAAGUCAAGCGGUGCCUUCACUGAAUUGGAAAAUCGUGAAUGCGUUGGAGCCAUGUGGCUGUUGUGAUUAGGUUCGAAUCUGAUUACAAACGAGUGCUUGCUGAACUUAUUCUCAGUACAAAUGUGUCCUCCAAGACGAGAAAUAGAGGAAAUUCUAGGAAUUUUCUUUGAUGUAGAAAUGUGUUUCGGCAUUAUAGGGUUAACUACUCCCUAAUAGUAUUCGCGUUAGUGUUGUGUGCUUUGAACAGCGAACUCUGCAAAGUAAGUAUUUGGAGACUUCCGCAACCAGCGGUCUCGUUAACGGACAACGAAGCCUGGUCGGACACGUUACUUCUGAUGCUAUUCACAGCGAAUCUUGAGGACUCGCCACAGGGAGAGUACUCUGAAAAAAAAUUACGCGAUGACUUAUGAAGCGCGCGCCUCAACUGGUGCCUGUCGAUUGUGUAGCCGGUACAGUUAACCGUGCCACUGGCAUUAUGCGCGAGCUAAGCAAUCGUCGUUCAGGGUUAGAGAUGCUUCGAUUGACCGUUUCAGUUUAGCGUUUGCAACCGAACAAUAGCAUUACGUAGGUGAAGAAAUAUCGUAGACCCUUCACACGUUCUGAACGUUAGUGGGGUUCUGCGGUUUGCGUGCGCUUGAUAGCGUACGGUAUUUAACGAGUUUCUGGUUCGAACAUCUGCGUACGCUUAGUAGCGUCGAACAUGCUCCAGCUUCAGCGUAUGUUCUGAUAACCGCUCUCUGAGACUCUUUUGUCGCCAGUAGCUACAAAACAGUUUGCGCUUCCUCUGAACUCGCCUGAAACGUUAGCGCAUAGCGCGUGCAAUUUCAGAGAUCAGCCGGCGAUUCCGGCGUCCGUAGGCCUAACCAGACUCGUCGGCAUAGCAACGGCGAGGUAUUUGCUAGUGGGUCGUCUUGGCGUGGAUACGUUCGGCACGAGGCACCAGACGGCGGUCUGUUUUGUGGAGUCCUUACGUAUGUGUUCCCGUGCGGUAAACUGACAGUCUUCAAAGGAUGCACAGCGUGACGUCCCACAAAUCCGAUUACGUUUAACGUACGUAAGUCUGCAAACUCUCUUCUAAAACGGUCUGAUAGUUUCGUGCUCUAUUGUAGUUCUACAGCGUGCAUUUCUCGGGUGCCCUAUCCUCCGGCUAAGCACAAGCGUACAGCUGUUCAUUCCAAAGGCUUCCUUAAAGAUUUCCGAUAUGUUCUGCGUCUAAAAUGAAGAUUAUCUUUUCUAGAACAGCUACCGCCUUUCAGCUCUUGCAGAGCUGAUAUCAAUGUAGUGUUUGAGCGUGCGCGCGCGCGCACGCUGUUUCACACAACCAGAAAAAUGGUUUGCCUCGUGUAAGAACGUUUACUGGCUUCGAAAUAAACUUGCCUUGAAUUAA